UUAAGCGACUAAGCGUACACGGUGGAUGCCCUGGCAGUCAGAGGCGAUGAAGGACGUGCUAAUCUGCGAUAAGCGUCGGUGAGGUGAUAUGAACCGUUAUAACCGGCGAUUUCCGAAUGGGGAAACCCAGUGUGUUUCGACACACUAUCAUUAACUGAAUCCAUAGGUUAAUGAGGCGAACCGGGGGAACUGAAACAUCUAAGUACCCCGAGGAAAAGAAAUCAACCGAGAUUCCCCCAGUAGCGGCGAGCGAACGGGGAGGAGCCCAGAGCCUGAAUCAGUGUGUGUGUUAGUGGAAGCGUCUGGAAAGGCGUGCGAUACAGGGUGACAGCCCCGUACACAAAAAUGCACAUAUUGUGAGCUCGAUGAGUAGGGCGGGACACGUGGUAUCCUGUCUGAAUAUGGGGGGACCAUCCUCCAAGGCUAAAUACUCCUGACUGACCGAUAGUGAACCAGUACCGUGAGGGAAAGGCGAAAAGAACCCCGGCGAGGGGAGUGAAAAAGAACCUGAAACCGUGUACGUACAAGCAGUGGGAGCCUCUUAAUGGGGUGACUGCGUACCUUUUGUAUAAUGGGUCAGCGACUUAUAUUCUGUAGCAAGGUUAACCGAAUAGGGGAGCCGAAGGGAAACCGAGUCUUAACUGGGCGUUAAGUUGCAGGGUAUAGACCCGAAACCCGGUGAUCUAGCCAUGGGCAGGUUGAAGGUUGGGUAACACUAACUGGAGGACCGAACCGACUAAUGUUGAAAAAUUAGCGGAUGACUUGUGGCUGGGGGUGAAAGGCCAAUCAAACCGGGAGAUAGCUGGUUCUCCCCGAAAGCUAUUUAGGUAGCGCCUCGUGAAUUCAUCUCCGGGGGUAGAGCACUGUUUCGGCAAGGGGGUCAUCCCGACUUACCAACCCGAUGCAAACUGCGAAUACCGGAGAAUGUUAUCACGGGAGACACACGGCGGGUGCUAACGUCCGUCGUGAAGAGGGAAACAACCCAGACCGCCAGCUAAGGUCCCAAAGUCAUGGUUAAGUGGGAAACGAUGUGGGAAGGCCCAGACAGCCAGGAUGUUGGCUUAGAAGCAGCCAUCAUUUAAAGAAAGCGUAAUAGCUCACUGGUCGAGUCGGCCUGCGCGGAAGAUGUAACGGGGCUAAACCAUGCACCGAAGCUGCGGCAGCGACGCUUAUGCGUUGUUGGGUAGGGGAGCGUUCUGUAAGCCUGCGAAGGUGUGCUGUGAGGCAUGCUGGAGGUAUCAGAAGUGCGAAUGCUGACAUAAGUAACGAUAAAGCGGGUGAAAAGCCCGCUCGCCGGAAGACCAAGGGUUCCUGUCCAACGUUAAUCGGGGCAGGGUGAGUCGACCCCUAAGGCGAGGCCGAAAGGCGUAGUCGAUGGGAAACAGGUUAAUAUUCCUGUACUUGGUGUUACUGCGAAGGGGGGACGGAGAAGGCUAUGUUGGCCGGGCGACGGUUGUCCCGGUUUAAGCGUGUAGGCUGGUUUUCCAGGCAAAUCCGGAAAACCAAGGCUGAGGCGUGAUGACGAGGCACUACGGUGCUGAAGCGACAAAUGCCCUGCUUCCAGGAAAAGCCUCUAAGCAUCAGGUAACAUCAAAUCGUACCCCAAACCGACACAGGUGGUCAGGUAGAGAAUACCAAGGCGCUUGAGAGAACUCGGGUGAAGGAACUAGGCAAAAUGGUGCCGUAACUUCGGGAGAAGGCACGCUGAUAUGUAGGUGAAGCGACUUGCUCGUGGAGCUGAAAUCAGUCGAAGAUACCAGCUGGCUGCAACUGUUUAUUAAAAACACAGCACUGUGCAAACACGAAAGUGGACGUAUACGGUGUGACGCCUGCCCGGUGCCGGAAGGUUAAUUGAUGGGGUUAGCGGUAACGCGAAGCUCUUGAUCGAAGCCCCGGUAAACGGCGGCCGUAACUAUAACGGUCCUAAGGUAGCGAAAUUCCUUGUCGGGUAAGUUCCGACCUGCACGAAUGGCGUAAUGAUGGCCAGGCUGUCUCCACCCGAGACUCAGUGAAAUUGAACUCGCUGUGAAGAUGCAGUGUACCCGCGGCAAGACGGAAAGACCCCGUGAACCUUUACUAUAGCUUGACACUGAACAUUGAGCCUUGAUGUGUAGGAUAGGUGGGAGGCUUUGAAGUGUGGACGCCAGUCUGCAUGGAGCCGACCUUGAAAUACCACCCUUUAAUGUUUGAUGUUCUAACGUUGGCCCGUAAUCCGGGUUGCGGACAGUGUCUGGUGGGUAGUUUGACUGGGGCGGUCUCCUCCUAAAGAGUAACGGAGGAGCACGAAGGUUGGCUAAUCCUGGUCGGACAUCAGGAGGUUAGUGCAAUGGCAUAAGCCAGCUUGACUGCGAGCGUGACGGCGCGAGCAGGUGCGAAAGCAGGUCAUAGUGAUCCGGUGGUUCUGAAUGGAAGGGCCAUCGCUCAACGGAUAAAAGGUACUCCGGGGAUAACAGGCUGAUACCGCCCAAGAGUUCAUAUCGACGGCGGUGUUUGGCACCUCGAUGUCGGCUCAUCACAUCCUGGGGCUGAAGUAGGUCCCAAGGGUAUGGCUGUUCGCCAUUUAAAGUGGUACGCGAGCUGGGUUUAGAACGUCGUGAGACAGUUCGGUCCCUAUCUGCCGUGGGCGCUGGAGAACUGAGGGGGGCUGCUCCUAGUACGAGAGGACCGGAGUGGACGCAUCACUGGUGUUCGGGUUGUCAUGCCAAUGGCACUGCCCGGUAGCUAAAUGCGGAAGAGAUAAGUGCUGAAAGCAUCUAAGCACGAAACUUGCCCCGAGAUGAGUUCUCCCUGACUCCUUGAGGGUCCUGAAGGAACGUUGAAGACGACGACGUUGAUAGGCCGGGUGUGUAAGCGCAGCGAUGCGUUGAGCUAACCGGUACUAAUGAACCGUGAGGCUUAACCUU
rnacentral:rRNA from 1 species